rnacentral:rRNA from 1 species
UACGUAGGGGGGCAAGCGUUGUCCGGAUUUAUUGGGCGUAAAGAGCGUGUAGGCGGCCAGGUAGGUCUGCUGUGAAAACUCGAGGCUUAACCUCGAGCUGUCGGCGGAAACCAUCUGGCUAGAGUCCGGAAGAGGAGAAUGGAAUUCCCGGUGUAGCGGUGAAAAUGCGCAGAUAUCGGGAAGAACACCCGUGGCGAAGGCGGUUCUCUGGG